GGAAUAUUGGACAAUGGGCGAAAGCCUGAUCCAGCAAUGCCGCGUGAGUGAUGAAGGCCUUAGGGUUGUAAAGCUCUUUUACCCGGGAUGAUAAUGACAGUACCGGGAGAAUAAGCCCUGGCUAACUCCGUGCCAGCAGCCGCGGUAAUACGGAGGGGGCUAGCGUUAUCCGGAAUUACUGGGCGUAAAGAGUUGCGUAGGCGGUUAAGUAAGCGAAUAGUGAAACUGUGUGGCUCAACCAUGCACCCAUUGUUCGAACUGCUUUGACUAGAGAGUGGAAGAGGUUGCUAGAAUUCCUAGUGUAGGGGUGAAAUCCGUAGAUAUUAGGAGGAAUACCGAUGGCGUAGGCAGGCAACUGGUCCAUUUCUGACGCUGAGGCACGAAAGCGUGGGGAGCGAUC
rnacentral:rRNA from 1 species